AGUUCAGUUGGUUAGAAUGCCAGCCUGUCACGCUGGAGGUCGAGGGUUCGAGCCCCUUCCAGGUCGCCA
rnacentral:tRNA from 1 species